rnacentral:lncRNA from 1 species
AAACGUACAUAUGGAGUCACUGGAAGGAGCAGUGGUCCUAUGAGCAGUGACCUCGGGUCUGAGUAUUGGAGAAGGACUUCCAUUAAGACAGUGUGAAGAAGCUGAUUCUGUGGUGCAGCUGUUGUCUUGUUCAGGUUCAGGAAGCUCAUUCAGAAGUAUUGCAACGUCCCCAUGUGGCAGCUUGUCUGUUGCCAAGCAUCGUCAAUCAAAUCCAAGACCCCUCCAUCUCUCUGGACCUCACUGUCCAUUCUCCUGAAGCUUUAAUCUUGUUCAAUUGGUGCCAGAUCCAGUGUUGCACUCUGCUCUUGAAUUUUAAUCUUCAAACAAAGUGAACAUAAAUAAAACCAAGACAAAUGACA